UGUUAGCGGUAGAAGUGACUCGAUUCAGGGUAUCUUACGAGGCCAGCGGUAAACGUGACUCGUGUUCAGGGCACCGUAUGAACCCGGCGAUAAUUUGCAUGAAAAAAUCACCCUUUUUCACGAAAUGUUAUUUUUUCGUGUUUGCGCGCGAUCUAGGCGGCUCACUAAUUUCAACGUGGCGUCUAUAGAUGCGGAAUUAAAUUCUCCGUCGGGAUGUAUUUGUUUGUUGCAGGAAUUCGACCUGCAACCCGCGAAAACUUGCAUAAAAGGGUGAUUUUUGUCACCCUAUCUCGUGAAAUAUUUGUAUGUUUUCGUAUUUGCGCGCGAUCUAGGCGGCUCACUAUCGUCAACGCGGCGACAAGUGAUGCGGAAUUAAAUUCUCCGUCGGGAUGUAUUUGUUUGUUGCAGGAAUUCGACCUGCAACCCGCGAAAAUUUGCAUAAAAGUGUGAUUUUUGUCACCCUUUCUCGUGAAAUGUUUGCAUGUUUUCGUAUUUGCGCGCGAUUUCGGCAGCUCAGUAUCGUCGGCGCGGCGUCUAGAGAUGCGGAAUUAAAUUCUUCGUCGGGUUGUAUUUGUUUGUUGCAGGAAUUCGACCUGCAACCCGCGAAAAUUUGCAUAAAAGGGUGAGGUUUGUCACAUUUCCUCGUGAAAUGUUUGUAUGUUUUCGUGUUUGCGCGUGAUUUAGGCAGCUCACUAACUUCAGCGCAACGUCUAUAGAUGUGGAAUUAAAUUCUUCGUCGGGUGGUAUUUGUUUGUUGCUGGAAUUCGACCUGCAACUCGCGAAAAUUAGCAUAAAAGGGUGAUUUUUGUCACCCUUUCUCGUGAAAUGUUUGUAUUUUUUCGGGUUUGCGCGCGAUCUAGGCGGCUCAUUAUCGUUAGCACGGCGUCUAGAUAUGCGGAAUUAAAUUCUCCGUCGGGUUGUAUUUGUUAGCGGUAGAAGUGACUCGAUUCAGAGUACCUUACGAGACUAGGGGUAAAAAUGACUGGUGUUCAGGGCACCGUAUGAUAAUUUGCAUGAAAGAAAAUGUUGCUUGUUUUAUGGAUUUUGCACCUGAGUCUGACAUCAUAGAAGAAGCAUUCUGGUAUCAAAUUGUAAGUAAUUAAUUCCUUUAUCAUUUUCUUAAAUAACUUUUGUGAUUAUCGCACAAAUUGACCCCCAAAAUUGCAUUUUUAUGUUCGAAGGACUAAUUUUUGCUUGUUUUAGGGAUUUUGCACAUGAGUCUGACAUCGUGGAAGGACCAUUCUUGCAUCAGAUUGGAUUUUGCACCUGAGUCUGACAUCGUAGAAGGACCAUUCUGGUAUCAGAUUAGAUUUUGCACCUGAGUCUGACAUCAUAGAAGGACCAUUCUUGCAUCAGAUUGGAUUUUGCACCUGAGUCUGACAUCGUGGAAGGACCAUUCUUGCAUCAGAUUGUUAUUAUUAAAUUUCAUUAUCUUAAAUAACUUUUGUAAUUAUUACACAAAUUGACUCCCAAAAUGUAUGUUUGUGUGUUUUCUUUAAUAAAGAAUAUUUUUAAGUUUUUCUAAUUAAAA